AACUUUAAAAUUAUUUGGAUCAUUUUCAUAUCUUUUGAAACAGUUCCAUAAUGAUGACAUCGUAUUUCAGGGGGGAGGUCUCAUUUCAUGAAUGGUCUAUCAUCAACAUUAUUUUCAAAAACGCUCAAACUUUUGUCUUUUGCGGAAAAAAGAGCAAAAUAUAAAAUAAUUUUUUUUACAAAACAAGUUUUAAUCAACAUAACCGGCUCUGCUGGGCGAUCUGCUUUUACCAUUCAAAUUCAUUCAUCAAUGUUAUAUAAAAUUUGCUCUUUGCCGAGGUCUGUUUUGACACCCAUUUUGACAAAAAGCAUAUUUUUGAUCAACCUGCUGAGCGAUCUACUUUUACGAGACCACAUACUCUCAUAACAUUUUAACUUCAAUUGAAUCCGGCCGCUAAAAUUGUU
rnacentral:lncRNA from 1 species